rnacentral:tRNA from 1 species
AUCCCCAUGGCGCAGUGGAAAGCGCGCUGGACUUCUAAUCCAGAGGUCGCGGGUUCGAAUCCCGCUGGGGAUA